rnacentral:rRNA from 1 species
AGUCGACUACGAGUUCCAAGAACUUUUGUGCCUUCGGGAAGUGUGAGACAGGUGCUGCAUGGCUGUCGUCAGCUCGUGUUGUGAAAUGUUGGGUUAAGUCCCGCAACGAGCGCAACCCUUAUCCUUUGUUGCCAGCGGUCCGGCCGGGAACUCAAAGGAGACUGCCAGUGAUAAACUGGAGGAAGGUGGGGAUGACGUCAAGUCAUCAUGGCCCUUACGACCAGGGCUACACACGUGCUACAAUGGCGCAUACAAAGAGAAGCGACCUCGCGAGAGCAAGCGGACCUCAUAAAGUGCGUCGUAGUCCGGAUUGGAGUCUGCAACUCGACUCCAUGAAGUCGGAAUCGCUAGUAAUCGUGGAUCAGAAUGCCACGGUGAAUACGUUCCCGGGUCUUGUACACACCGAGGG